UACAUCUCUACCUUAAUCCCAUUUGAUAUAUUAUUUUGCUCCUCCAAAGGAUUGAGCUCGUUGCAGAAGUUUGGGCAGGGUACCCUUAAUUUUCUUCAGGGUUCUUCUAUAUCACACAUGUCCAAAAAAUGGCUGCUCAAGUUUAAUAAAAUGUAAUGACUGUGUUCUGUUAUAAUUUAAUCUAUUGAGAGAGGUUCAUUUAGUUCAGUUCUAUUUUAGCUGUAAUUCUCAUGCCCUAGCCAUACUGAUUAAUAAGUUAUGAUUCAUUAAUUUGGGAUGUUGAGAGAAGAACCUAAAUCUCAUGUGGUAAAGCAAUUGUGCAACUACCAAUUAAGAUGCAGGAACAUGACUUUCACCAGUGUUUCAAAAAUGUGUUGCCAAACAAAUUAUGGAGCGAAUUGAACAAGAAGAUCUCAUUUCUAUUUUAUCAUUUUCAUUAGUAGUAGACUAGUGUUUUGUAUAGUAAAGUUUCAAUAAACAUGUAAGAAAUCAGAAAAAUGAUAGAAUAAUUAAAAUGAAACUUAUACCCAUAAAUUUUGAAGAUUUAAAUAUGAGAGAAAAGUAAAAUAGCACAAAAAUUAGAACUAACAACUAUUAAAGUUUCAUUAGAAAAUAAGGAUUAAAAACUAAUUGCCUAUAACAUUUUAUGAUGAAUCUCUUCAGUCUUUGUGUUUUUCUUUUUCUCGCUCUUUUUUUUUUCUCAGUGAUUCUUAAUCGAGAGAGUUUUGUAAGAGAAAUUGCAGAGUUUAUUGCCAUAAAGUCAGUGUUUUUUUUUUCCAAUUUUCCCCAAAUUUGCGAUUGACAGAGAGUGAUAAAUACAAAAACUAUAAUCCACAUUUUCAAGCACAUACCGUAUUGAGGUGGCCUUUCUCCUUCUUUUCUUUUCGUCCAAUCAAUCGUCAUUGUUAAUCCUUUCUUUAUUGCUCGUCUUUCUUCUUCGUUCGCCAACUGCCAACAAUUUCAAAAGCUUGUUUCUGCUGCUAUUGACGAUUUCAAAAGCGAGAAUUUCAAGAACAGGAUUUGAAGACUUCAAAAGCUUGUGUUGCAUCGAUGUCUAACUUAGCUCUGUUUUGGCGUGCUCUCUUCAUUAUUUCACAUAUUUGGCUUUAUAGUUGUUCUUUUCUGGUUUAUUCGGAGAAGAGAACGUUAGAAGUGAGAUACAGA
rnacentral:lncRNA from 1 species